rnacentral:rRNA from 1 species
AACGAACGCUGGCGGCAUGCCUAACACAUGCAAGUCGAACGAGACCUUCGGGUCUAGUGGCGCACGGGUGCGUAACGCGUGGGAACCUGCCCUUAGGUUCGGAAUAACUCCCCGAAAGGGGUGCUAAUACCGGAUAAUGUCUUCGGACCAAAGAUUUAUCGCCUUUGGAUGGGCCCGCGUUUGAUUAGCUAGUUGGUAGGGUAAAAGCCUACCAAGGCGACGAUCCAUAGCUGGUCUGAGAGGAUGAUCAGCACACUGGGACUGAGACACGGCCCAGACUCCUACGGGAGGCAGCAGUGGUGAAUAAUGGACACUGGGCGAAAGCCUGAUCCAGCAAUGCCGCGUGAGUGAUGAAGGCCUUAGGGUUGUAAAGCUCUUUUACCCGGGAUGAUAAUGACAGUACCGGGAGAAUAAGCUCCGGCUAACUCCGU